rnacentral:rRNA from 1 species
GAUGAACGCUGGCGGCGUGCUUAACACAUGCAAGUCGAACGGUAAGGCCCUUCGGGGUACACGAGUGGCGAACGGGUGAGUAACACGUGGGUGAUCUGCCCUGCACUUCGGGAUAAGCCUGGGAAACUGGGUCUAAUACCGGAUAGGACCACUGCCUGCAUGGGUGGUGGUGGAAAGCUUUUGCGGUGUGGGAUGGGCCCGCGGCCUAUCAGCUUGUUGGUGGGGUGAUGGCCUAUCAAGGCGACGACGGGUAGCCGGCCUGGGAGGGUGACCGGCCACACUGGGACUGAGAUACGGCCCAGACUCCUACGGGAGGCAGCAGUGGGGAAUAUUGCACAAUGGGCGCAAGCCUGAUGCAGCGACGCCGCGUGAGGGAUGACGGCCUUCGGGUUGUAAACCUCUUUCAGCACCGACGAAGCGCAAGUGACGGUAGGUGCAGAAGAAGGACCGGCCAACUACGUGCCAGCCGCCGCCGUAA